rnacentral:lncRNA from 1 species
AUGGUUAAUCAUGUUCAAAUUCAGAUGGAGUUCAGAGGCCCAAGGGUGGCAUACUUGGGCAAUCAUCAAAGGCAAGCAGACCAUGACCAAGUUCUAAAGUGUUGUUUGAUAUGGAGGAGCAGGUCUAAGAUAGAGUCAUGGAAGAGGAUUUUCUCCAGUUCAUCCGUCUUGUUUAUAAUAGCAAGGGUCACUGAUCCAAAGCAUGCCACUGACACCACCGAGAAAGAAAAAUGA